rnacentral:rRNA from 1 species
UACAGAGGGUGCGAGCGUUAAUCGGAAUUACUGGGCGUAAAGCGUGCGUAGACGGUUAUAUAAGUCGGAUGUGAGAGCCCCGGGCUCAACCUGGGAAUUGCAUUCGAGACUGCAUAGCUAGGGUGCGGAAGAGGGAAGCGGAAUUUCGGGUGUAGCGGUGAAAUGCGUAGAUAUCCGAAGGAACAUCAGUGGCGAAAGCGGCUUCCUGGUCCAGCACCGACGUUCAGGCACGAAAGCGUGGGGAGCAAACAGG